rnacentral:rRNA from 1 species
CAGGACGAACGCUGGCGGCGUGCCUAAUACAUGCAAGUCGAACGGACUUUCUAUGGAAGCUUGCUUCCACUGGGAAGAUAGUGGCGAACGGGUGAGUAACACGUGGGUAACCUGCCCAUAAGAGGGGGGAUAACAUCCGGAAACGGGUGCUAAUACCGCAUAGUUUCUUUGAUCGCAUGAUUGAGAAAGGAAAGACGGCCUUUGUGCUGUCGCUUAUGGAUGGACCCGCGGCGUAUUAGUUAGUUGGUGAGGUAACGGCUCACCAAGACGAUGAUACGUAGCCGACCUGAGAGGGUGAUCGGCCACAUUGGGACUGAGACACGGCCCAAACUCCUACGGGAGGCAGCAGUAGGGAAUCUUCCGCAAUGGACGAAAGUCUGACGGAGCAACGCCGCGUGAGUGAAAGAAGGUUUUCGGAUCGUAAAACUCUGUUGUCAGAGAAGAACAAGUUGGAGAGUAACUGCUCCAGCCUUGACGGUAUCUGACCAGAAAGCCACGGCUAACUACGUGCCAGCCGCCGC